UAAGACGUAGGAGACGAGCGUUAUCCGGAUUUACUGGGCGUAAAGCGCGUGCAGGCGGCUCGUUAAGUUGGAUGUGAAAGCCCCUGGCUAAACUAGGGGAGGUCGUUCAAGACUGGCGGGCUAGAGUGCAGCAGAGGAGAGUGGAAUUCCGAGUGUAGCGGUAAAAUGCACAGAUAUUCGGAAGAACACCAGAGGCGAAGGCGGCUCUCUGGGCUGCAACUCACGCUCAGACGCGAAAGCUAGGGGAGCGAACGGGAUUAGAGACCCCGGUAGUCCUAGCCGUAAACGAUGUGGACUUGGCGUGGGGAGGGUAAAGCCUGUCCGUGCCGAAGCAAACGCGAUAAGUCCACCGCCUGGGGACUACGGCCGCAAGGUUAAAACGCAAAGGAAUUGACGGGGGCCCGCAC
rnacentral:rRNA from 1 species